AGAAUCAACGCUGGCGGCGUGCCUAACACAUGCAAGUCGAACGCGAAAGCCCCUUCGGGGGUAAGUAGAGUGGCGUCCGGGUGAGUAACACGUGGGUAAUCUGCCUCCGGGUGGGGAAUAACUCGCCGAAAGGUGAGCUAAUACCGCAUAAUGCAGCGGCACCUAAUGGUGAAUAGUUGUUAAAGCGGGGGACCCUUCGGGGCCUCGCGCCUGGAGAGGAGCCUGCGGCAGAUUAGCUAGCUGGUGGGGUAAUGGCUCACCAAGGCUUCGAUCUGUAGCUGGUCUGAGAGGACGGCCAGCCACACUGGCACUGACACACGGGCCAGACUCCUACGGGAGGCAGCAGUGGGGAAUUUUGGGCAAUGGGCGCAAGCCUGACCCAGCAACGCCGCGUGAGGGAGGAAAUCCUUCGGAUGAAACCUCGACAAGCAAGGAAGAGCGCCACAGGUCUAAUAAGUACUGUGGUCCGAACGGUACCUUGCCGUAAGCCACGGACUAACUACGUG
rnacentral:rRNA from 1 species